rnacentral:rRNA from 1 species
UACGUAGGCAGCAAGCGUUGUUCGGAGUUACUGGGCGUAAAGGGUGUGUAGGCGGUUAUUUAAGUUUGGUGUGAAAUCUCCCGGCUCAACCGGGAGGGUGCGCCGAAUACUGAAUGACUUGGAGUGCGGGAGAGGAAAGUGGAAUUCCUGGUGUAGCGGUGAAAUGCGUAGAUAUCAGGAGGAACACCGGUGGUGUAGACGGCUUUCUGGACCGUAACUGACGCUGAGACACGAAAGCGUGGGGAGCAAAAGGG